UCAGUGUGACGCAGCGAUCUCGCAUGUAGACACGACGCGAAUCGACCACGUCCGUAGGUUUUACAACAAUCACUUUCCAUUCACGAUGAAAUCAACUAUCUCAGAUUCUGCGGCUUUCAAGUUGAUAAAGUUAGUAAAAUCUCGACCAUAUAUUUGGAAUAUGAACUAUGAAAAGUACAAUGACAGAUUUCACGUUGCUAUUAGUUGGAAGGAGAUACAAGAGGCGCUGAGUGAUACUGGUCUUUCAGAAGACGCGUUGCGCUUGAAAUGGCGAAACUAUCGGGACAUCUUCAGACGGGAACUCAGAAAAUACCCAUGUCACAGCCCAGAAGAUUACGGAGGCAAAUGGCAAUUCUUCAGAGCAAUGUUCUUCUUGAAAACCGAGCUUUACGAAAAAGAGACCGAACAAUACUUAGCCGAGAAAAACGAAGAAGAUAAAAGUGAUAAUGAGGAACCACAUUUUGUUGUUAAAUUUGAGCCCCAAGAAGAUGAAGCACCGCCAAUUGAUUUUGUAAGUACUACGUCAGACGACGACGAGAGGAGAUCAAAAAGGCGGCGGGUGGACAAGAAUGACUACGACCAAAUGUUUCUGAAGUCUUUGGUGCCGUAUUUCCGUCAGUUGGAACCCAUGAGAAAAUUGGCCGUGAGGACUAAAUUGCAGAAUUUAUUGUUUGAGGAAUUGAAGGAGCAAGCGGAGAGCAAAGAAGAUGAUUUUUAGUAAUAACAUAGGCGGUUUUUAAACUGAUGUACAAAUAGAACCAAAUGUAGUUUCUAUGAAAAGAUUUCUCAAAGAAUUUCGGUCAUUGUUAUAAAUGUAAAUAAAGUCCUCAAAUGAUCGAAAUUAACAAUCUAAUAAAAAGUAUAGAAGUAAGAAAAUUUUAACGAUAAGAAAUACAAAUUUUUGCAAUCAAACCAAAAUAGGUAUUAUCGCAUAUCUACCUAAUUAGUUAGGUGACGCUUAUUUCCAAGCUAAUAAACUGUUUUGUUUUUAAGUAAAUAAUAAUUGCAAAAACCAGUUUGGAAGUAGAAUGCAAAUUAUUCAGAA